rnacentral:rRNA from 1 species
UACAGAGGUGCCAAGCGUUUAGGCGGAGUCACUGGGCUUAAAGCGCGUGUAGGUGGGUCGUUAAGUGUCCGCGUGAAAUCCCACGGCUCAACCGUGGAACUGCCGGGCAUACUGGCGAUCUUGAGGCAUUCAGGGGCGAGCGGAACAAAUGGUGGAGCGGUGAAAUGCGUAGAUAUCAUUUGGAACGCCAAUGGUGAAAACAGCUCGCUGGGAAUGAUCUGACACUGAGACGCGAAAGCCAGGGGAGCGAACGGG